rnacentral:rRNA from 1 species
UUGGUACUAAGCCAUGUGAGUCGUUGUAGCAAUACAAGGCAUACGGCUCAGUAACACGUAGUCAAUCUAACCUAUGGACGGGGAUAACCUCGGGAAACUGAGGAUAAAACACGAUAGAUCAUAAUGCCUGGAACGGUUUAUGGUUCAAAUGAUUCGUCGCCGUAGGGUGGGACUGCGGCCUAUCAGCUUGUUGGUGAGGUAAUGGCCCACCAAGGCUAUUACAGGUACGGGCUCUGAGAGGAGAAGCCCGGAGAUGGGUACUGAGACACGGACCCAGGCCCUAUGGGGCGCAGCAGGCGAGAAACCUUUGCAAUGUGCGCAAGCACGACAAGGUUAAUCCGAGUGUUUCCUGUUAAAGGAAUCUUUUGUUAGUUCUAAAACCACUAUUGAAUAAGGGGUGGGCAAGUUCUGGUGUCAGCCGCCGCGGUAAAACCAGCACCUCAAGUGGUCAGGAUGAUUAUUGGGCCUAAAGCAUCCGUAGCCUGUUCUGUAAGUUUCCGGUUAAAUCCAUUAGCUCAACUAAUGGGCUGCCGAAAAUACUGCAGAACUAGGGAGUGGGAGAGGUAGACGGUACUCGGUAGGAAGGGGUAAAAUCCUUUGAUCUAUUGAUGACCACCAGUGGCGAAGGCGGUCUACCAGAACACGUUCGACGGUGAGGGAUGAAAGCUGGGGGAGCAAACCGGAUUAGAUACCCGGGUAGUCCCAGCUGUAAACGAUGCAGACUCGGUGAUGCGCUGGCUUGUGGCCAGUGCAGUGCCGCAGGGAAGCCGUUAAGUUUGCCGCCUGGGAAGUACGUACGCAAGUAUGAAACUUAAAGGAAUUGGCGGGGGAGCACCACAAGGGGUGAAGCCUGCGGUUCAAUUGGAUCAACGCCGGA